CAGUCGAACGAACUCUGGUAUUGAUUGGUGCUUGCAUCAUGAUUUACAUUUGAGUGAGUGGCGAACUGGUGAGUAACACGUGGGAAACCUGCCCAGAAGCGGGGGAUAACACCUGGAAACAGAUGCUAAUACCGCAUAACAACUUGGACCGCAUGGUCCGAGCUUGAAAGAUGGCUUCGGCUAUCACUUUUGGAUGGUCCCGCGGCGUAUUAGCUAGAUGGUGGGGUAACGGCUCACCAUGGCAAUGAUACGUAGCCGACCUGAGAGGGUAAUCGGCCACAUUGGGACUGAGACACGGCCCAAACUCCUACGGGAGGCAGCAGUAGGGAAUCUUCCACAAUGGACGAAAGUCUGAUGGAGCAACGCCGCGUGAGUGAAGAAGGGUUUCGGCUCGUAAAACUCUGUUGUUAAAGAAGAACAUAUCUGAGAGUAACUGUUCAGGUAUUGACGGUAUUUAACCAGAAAGCCACGGCUAACUACGUGCCAGCAGCCGCGGUAAUACGUAGGUGGCAAGCGUUGUCCGGAUUUAUUGGGCGUAAAGCGAGCGCAGGCGGUUUUUUAAGUCUGAUGUGAAAGCCUUCGGCUCAACCGAAGAAGUGCAUCGGAAACUGGGAAACUUGAGUGCAGAAGAGGACAGUGGAACUCCAUGUGUAGCGGUGAAAUGCGUAGAUAUAUGGAAGAACACCAGUGGCGAAGGCGGCUGUCUGGUCUGUAACUGACGCUGAGGCUCGAAAGUAUGGGUAGCAAACAGGAUUAGAUACCCUGGUAGUCCAUACCGUAAACGAUGAAUGCUAAGUGUUGGAGGGUUUCCGCCCUUCAGUGCUGCAGCUAACGCAUUAAGCAUUCCGCCUGGGGAGUACGGCCGCAAGGCUGAAACUCAAAGGAAUUGACGGGGGCCCGCACAAGCGGUGGAGCAUGUGGUUUAAUUCGAAGCUACGCGAAGAACCUUACCAGGUCUUGACAUACUAUGCAAAUCUAAGAGAUUAGACGUUCCCUUCGGGGACAUGGAUACAGGUGGUGCAUGGUUGUCGUCAGCUCGUGUCGUGAGAUGUUGGGUUAAGUCCCGCAACGAGCGCAACCCUUAUUAUCAGUUGCCAGCAUUAAGUUGGGCACUCUGGUGAGACUGCCGGUGACAAACCGGAGGAAGGUGGGGAUGACGUCAAAUCAUCAUGCCCCUUAUGACCUGGGCUACACACGUGCUACAAUGGAUGGUACAACGAGUUGCGAACUCGCGAGAGUAAGCUAAUCUCUUAAAGCCAUUCUCAGUUCGGAUUGUAGGCUGCAACUCGCCUACAUGAAGUCGGAAUCGCUAGUAAUCGCGGAUCAGCAUGCCGCGGUGAAUACGUUCCCGGGCCUUGUACACACCGCCCGUCACACCAUGAGAGUUUGUAACACCCAAAGUCGGUGGGGUAACCUUUUA
rnacentral:rRNA from 2 species